rnacentral:rRNA from 1 species
GACGAACGCUGGCGGCGUGCUUAACACAUGCAAGUCGAACGGAAAGGCCCUGCUUUUGUGGGGUGCUCGAGUGGCGAACGGGUGAGUAACACGUGAGUAACCUGCCCUUGCCUUUGGGAUAACUUCAGGAAACUGGGGCUCAUACCGGAUAGGAGCUCCUGCUGCAUGGUGGGGGUUGGAAAGUUUCGGCGGUUGGGGAUGGACUCGCGGCUUAUCAGCUUGUUGGUGGGGUAGUGGCUUACCAAGGCUUUGACGGGUAGCCGGCCUGGGAGGGUGACCGGCCACAUUGGGACUGGGAUACGGCACAGACUCCUACGGUAGGCAGCGGUGGGGAAGAUUGCACAAUGGGCUGAAGCCUGAUGCAGCAACGCCGCGUGCGGGAUGACAGCCUUCGGGUUGUAAACCGCUGUCGCCUGUGACGAAGCGUUAGUGACGGUAAUGGGUAAAGAAGCACCGGCUAACUACGUG